GUGCGUAAUAGCUCACUAGUCGAGAGGUCCUGCGCCGAAAAUGUCCGGGGCUAAACACUACACCGAAGCUGAGGAAUGACAAUGUCAUUGGUAGAGGAGCAUUCUUAACUGCGACGAAGCUGUACCGAAAGGAGCAGUGGAGUGUUAAGAAGAGAGAAUGCCGGAAUGAGUAGCGAGAGUGAGGUGAGAAUCCUCACGGCCGAAUAUCUAAGGUUUCCAGGGUAAAGCUGAUCUGCCCUGGGUAAGUCGGGACCUAAGGCGAGGUCGAAAGACGUAGUCGAUGGACAACAGGUUGAAAUUCCUGUACUGCAAUGUAUCAGAAAUGUGGGGACACAGACAGAGAGCCGGAGCCGGGAAUGGAGAAACCGGUGCAAGCGAGGUAGGAGAACAGCAGGCAAAUCCGCUGUUCAAUCCAAAGACGUGACGCGGAGCGAAAUUAAAGUAGCGAAGCCGGUGAGCUGGCUGUCAGGAAAAUCCGCUAUUGUGUACAUUGUACCCGUACCGUAAACCGACACAGGUGGAUGAGGAGAGAAUCCUAAGGCCGACGGAAGAAGCAUUGUUAAGGAACUCGGCAAAAUGGCCCCGUAACUUCGGGAUAAGGGGUGCCUACGAAGGUAGGCCGCAGAGAAUUGGCCCAAGCAACUGUUUAGCAAAAACACAGGUCUAUGCGAAACCGUAAGGUGAUGUAUAUGGGCUGACGCCUGCCCGGUGCUGGAAGGUUAAGGGGAGAGGUUAGACUUAAGUCGAAGCCUUGAACUUAAGCCCCAGUAAACGGCGGCCGUAACUAUAACGGUCCUAAGGUAGCGAAAUUCCUUGUCGGGUAAGUUCCGACCCGCACGAAAGGCGUAAUGAUUUGGGCACUGUCUCGACAAUGCAUCCGGUGAAAUUGAAGUACCAGUGAAGAUGCUGGUUACCUGCGCCAGGACGGAAAGACCCCAUGGAGCUUUACUCUAGCUUGAUACUGGGAUUCGAUAUUGCAUGUACAGGAUAGGUGGGAGACUAGGAGACAUGAACGCCAGUUUGUGUGGAGUCGUCCUUGGGAUACCACCCUUGCAGUAUUGGGUUUCUAACAUGCAGCCGUGAUCCGGCUGGUGGACAAUGUCAGGUGGGGAGUUUGACUGGGGCGGUCGCCUCCGAAAGGGUAUCGGAGGCGCUCAAAGGUUCCCUCAGAAUGGUCGGAAACCAUUCGAAGAGUGCAAAGGCAGAAGGGAGCUUGACUGUGACACCGACGGGUGGAGCAGGUACGAAAGUAGGACUUAGUGAUCCGGUGGUAUAA
rnacentral:rRNA from 1 species